GAUGAACGCUGGCGGCGUGCCUAACACAUGCAAGUCGAACGAGAACCCAUUCUUCGGAUUGGGGGACAGUGGCGAACGGGUGAGUAACACGUUGGUGACCUGCCCCGAAGCGGGGGACAACCACGGGAAACUGUGGCUAAUACCGCAUAUGCUCCAGAGGGUUAGAGGACUCUGGAGUAAAGCUCCGGCGCUUCGGGAGGGGCCUGCGGCCUAUCAGCUAGUUGGUGGGGUAAUGGCCUACCAAGGCUAAGACGGGUAGGGGGCGUGAGAGCGUGACCCCCCACAAUGGAACUGAGACACGGUCCAUACUCCUACGGGAGGCAGCAGUGAGGAAUAUUGCGCAAUGGGGGCAACCCUGACGCAGCAACGCCGCGUGGGUGACGAAGGCCUUCGGGUCGUAAAACCCUUUUCUGGGGGAAGAGAAAGGACGGUACCUCAGGAAUAAGUCCCGGCUAACUACGUG
rnacentral:rRNA from 1 species